GCUCAGGAUGAACGCUGGCGGCGUGCCUAAUACAUGCAAGUCGAGCGAAUGGAUUGAGAGCUUGCUCUCAAGAAGUUAGCGGCGGACGGGUGAGUAACACGUGGGUAACCUGCCCAUAAGACUGGGAUAACUCCGGGAAACCGGGGCUAAUACCGGAUAAYAUUUUGAACUGCAUGGUUCGAAAUUGAAAGGCGGCUUCGGCUGUCACUUAUGGAUGGACCCGCGUCGCAUUAGCUAGUUGGUGAGGUAACGGCUCACCAAGGCAACGAUGCGUAGCCGACCUGAGAGGGUGAUCGGCCACACUGGGACUGAGACACGGCCCAGACUCCUACGGGAGGCAGCAGUAGGGAAUCUUCCGCAAUGGACGAAAGUCUGACGGAGCAACGCCGCGUGAGUGAUGAAGGCUUUCGGGUCGUAAAACUCUGUUGUUAGGGAAGAACAAGUGCUAGUUGAAUAAGCUGGCACCUGAC
rnacentral:rRNA from 1 species